rnacentral:sRNA from 1 species
AGAUCGCCUGCCAGAAUGACUGCGUCCCU